UUGGUUACAGUACUGUGCUGGAGCCACUGCUCAAGGAUCUUGUGAGCUUGGAAGAGGAGGGCUUGUAUGUCCCAGCAUUAAGCAAAAGAGUCAAAGGAACAGUGAUUAGUGUUGUGGCAGAUAAUCUUGGAGCCCAUUCUAUUGGGGGAUUUGUUGAAAGCUUCUCCAGUUCUUAUGUCUGCAGAUUUUGUCUGGGUGGAAGAAGUGAGAACAGGAGCACCUGAGUUUCAGGUGGAAGAAGUGAGAACAGGGGCAUUUCAACUCAGAACUGAAGAACAACAUGAAAUGCAUGUCCAGACUGUGCAGGAGAAUACUGCUUUGACUCAUGUCUGUGGAGUCAAGAGGCAGUGUGCACUUACAGAGAAUCUGAAGUAUUUCAGUGUUUUGUCAGGUUACCCACCUGAUGUGUUGCACGAUCUGCUUAAAGGUGUAGUCCCCCGAGAAUUGGCUCUCUGUCUUCAAGUGUUUAUCAAGACACUCUUUACUCUUGAUGAACUCAACAAAUGCAUCAAAAUGUUCCCCUACAAAUGGUCAGAAAAGGCUGAUGCUCCACAGCAGGUCGCUCUGAAUUUUGCAGCAAAGAAAAGUGUUGGAGGGAACGCCCAUGAAAACUGGUCUUUGCUGCGAUUCCUGCCCCUCAUAAUUGGAUAAAAAAUCUCUGAAGGUGAACCAGCAUGGGAAGUACUUCUAGUGCUCAAAGACAUAGUUGAGCAUGUUGUAAGUCAUGUUCACACAGAGGAGACUAUUUGCUACCUAGACAUUAAGAUCUCUGAACACAGACACAGGUUUCUCCAGGUUUUCCCAGAGGAAAAACUAAUCCCCAAACAUCAUUACCUGGAACAAUAUCCACAGCUGAUCAGGGCCAGUGGUCAACUAGUGUUACUGUGGACUAUGCUGUUUGAAGCUAAACACAUCUUUUUCAAGCGUGUUGUCAGGCACACACACAGCUUUUGAAAUAUUCUGCUGUCACUUUCCAUGAAGCAUCAGCUGAUGAUUGCAUAUAACCAGCAUGAUCCCAGUGUUGUGAAACCUGUCUUACAGGCCACAGAGCUGUCUACUGUAGAUGUUACUGUGCUAAGAGAAGAUAUCCAGGAAGCACUGCAAGCUAAAUUUCCUGAUUGAUUAAUGUCGCAACCAGCACAUCUCUGAGUGAUACUUUCAGACCAUGAUGUCCAGAAUCUGACAUUACCAUCUGGAAUCCCUGGAACAGUUGGAGAACUUAAUUCAGUUGUUCGAGAUACAUUUGGGAUUUUAGGGGAUUUCCGUUUGCAUUACAAGGAUGCUGAUUUUGGUAAAGAUAUUUUCUCCUUGCUUUCGACAGCUGACAUCACAGAUAUGGACACUAUCAAGGUUGUGUAUAUCCUGGAACCCUCUACAGUAACAUUGACCUUAACAGACGACGACUCCUCAAGCAUUAUUGAUGGUUCUUAUCAGCCUUCUGAUGAUGCCUGCUCAUCUGUGUCCUCCCAUGACACAUUGCCUCUUUCUCCAGGAUCGAUAACAAAAAGCAUAGCCCAACGGUCAAAGGGUUGGCCCUCAGACUUUGCAAUUCCCCGUUUCUCAUCCAGAGAACAGAGAUUCUGCUUCAGUUAGGCAAUGAAAAAUGCAAUUGUUCUGGGACUCUUUUUGGUACCAAAGAUCUUAUCUCUCUACUUUCAGACAUUCUUGGAAGUUUCCAUCAAGUGCACAACUAAGUCAAGUAGCAGUGGCCCUGAUUAAAAAACAUCCCUGCCUCAAAGAACCAGGAUCUUUCAAUGGAUCUUAUAGAUGGAUCCAGCAACUCAAAUAUAAAAUGAACAACUUCAGAUCCAAACUUCGAUGUAUCGGCUGUCCAGAAAUUGAGGUGAUUUAAGUAGAUAAAAGGCUGAAGUAAAUUUCCUACCUCCUCAUCCUCAUGGUGAAACCAGUGGAAGUUUGGAGAACGAGAGAGUGGACCUGUUACGUGAAGUGACGAAAAGGGAUAAUUGCCAGGUUGUUGCUGAGAAAAUGGCCAAGACAUUCUCUCUUCAUAGGCAAGAAAUCAUUUAGGCCCCUGCAAUCAAGGACUUCAUGGAGCGCUGGCCUGCAUUAUUUGAUGCAACACAGCACAAUACAAUAAGUACGCAGAGAAGCAGCCAUCCGCUGCCUUGUCGUGCGCCUUGGAGAGAAGGAAGAGGACCUUUUCAAGGAGUUUGCUGAAACAGAAGAGUUCGAGGCAGGUCUUGAUAGGCAAGUGAUGAAAAUUGCCAUCAUCGGUGACCGGUCCACCCCAGGAUCUGACCACAAGAUGGCAACCAUCGUGGUCAAGGGAACCAAAAUCCUGGUGGGAAAGGAUAUCCCAAGGUGCUGUGCUUUGCUGAUGUGCAUAAUAUAUGCUCAGAAGCUGUUCCUUGAACUUGAUGGACUGAAAGCCAGUGCAAAAGUAAUGAGUCUCAAGAACAGUAUUUUCUGAAGAUUCCUCUUGUUUCAGAGCACUAUCAGAUUUUAUUCAGAUACUGUUGUUUUGUAUUUUGAAGUCUACUAAAGAAGCUACAAAACUGAUAGUGUAACAAAAGAGGGGAUGUAAGACAAAAUUGUGAAGUUGCUUCAGAUAUGCUGUAUAUGCAACAAAACUUGUCUUUACAGAUGACAAAACAAAGAUGAUGUAAAAUGCCAUUUUUGUGUUUUGGAAAUUAAUGUUGUGGGCUUACUUAUGUAAUUACAUAUGCGGCUUAGGUAUAGCAACUAUAGGAAAGUUCCAUCAUACGUUACUUGACUUUGGCUGUUAUCUCCAUGAAGACUCAGGUUUUGAGGGAGUCACAUUUGUUUAAGAUGUAUUUAGAUGUUCCAAAAUCUGUUGUACUACCCUUAGAACUGGCAUUUACUGAUGAAUGAGCAAGCAUUAUGUGUUAAAAUGUUUCAUACUGUUUCAAAAACUGACUGUCUGCUGCAAAAACACGUUCGUUACGGUUUUUGUAAAAUUGAUCUAAAAGGUCUUUACUAUAUUAUGUAAAAACAAAAAGCUGCAGGACCAUGAGAAGAUUGUUGGCCAUUGAAAGUUAAUAUUUAAUGAGCACUUGCUUGUUCCUGUAGUUUUACAAAAUAUUUUUAAAACUGCAGUUAAUAUUUUACAGAUUUUACACGUUUGGCACUGUGGUUUUAAAUAUGUAAAGGCCUAUAACUUUGCUGUGAUGGAAUAAUUGAUUUAUUGUGAUGGUAUAAUUGAGUAUGCAUACUACUUGAUUCUUAAUUUCCCAAGGCAAUAUGGCCAUUUUUUAUUUUUUUUUAUCAAGAUUUAAAUAUUGUGUGUUUUAAAUACACAACUG